rnacentral:rRNA from 1 species
AAAGUCUGAAAAGGGACCGGACCCUUCGGGGAGCUUGCACAGGUGCUGCAUGGCUGUCGUCAGCUCGUGUCGUGAGAUGUUCGGUUAAGUCCGCUAACGAGCGCAACCCUCACUGUGUGUUAUAUGUGUCACACGGGACUGCCGGUUUUAAGCCGGAGGAAGGUGGGGAUGACGUCAAGUCAGCAUGGCCUUUAUAUCCUGGGCUACACACACGCUACAAUGGUCGGUACAAUAGGUUGCCAAGCCGCGAGGCGGAGCCAAUCCACAAAGCCGGCCUCAGUUCAGAUUGUAGGCUGCAACUCGCCUGCAUGAAGAUGGAGUUGCUAGUAACCGCAGGUCAGCAAUACUGCGGUGAAUACGUUCCCGGGUCUU